CAGUCCUGCUGCAGUAGUCCCUUUCUUCAUGGCUCAGAAUAUCUGGUACAAAGGUGUUUUUUGAAAAUGUUUGAGGCCAAGUGCAAUGGCUCAUCCUGGAAUCUCAGUACUUUGGAAGGCUGAGGGAGGAGGAUCACGUGAGCCCAGGAGCUUGAGACCAGCCUGGGCAACAUAGUGAGACUGUACCUCUACGAAAAAAGGAAAAAGUAAAAAAUCAGCUGGAUGUGGUGGCCCAUGUUUGUAGUCCCAGCCACUCAGGUGGCUGAGGCAGGAGGAUUGCUUGAACUCAAGAGUUCUGUUUAAGGUUAUAGUAAGCUAUGAUUGUCACUGCACUCCAGUCUGGGUGAGAGAGUGAGACCUUGUCUCUUAAAAAUAUGUCUCUCUGUAUGUAAAAUGUUUAAGACGCAAGAAUCUUUCGAAUAGAAAAAGUGAUAAUUCAGAUUUAUGAAGCUUCUCUUUUCCUCAGGGAUGAUAAUAAAGUUAAGGAGGUUCUGAAGAUACUAACUAAACCUGUCUUAAAAUGAUGCUUGUGUUCAGGAGAAAGAUUUACAUACAUGAAACCAUUAUAUGGCAGCUGCAACUACAUAUGAGAGUUUAUACGUAAGUACUGGGUUUUGAGGCAUGGAAAACAAGUGUGAGAGCUCAGAAGUCAGUGAGGUUAGUGGGGAGUAAACAAGAAAGGCUUUUUCUGGUGGAGAUAGGACUUGAAAUAGGCCUUAAAGAUUGGUUUGGAAAGUGGACAUUUGAGACUUUGGGGGUGACAGGUGAAGAGUGAGGAUGGCUUGAGUCAAGCUGCUAAACUUGGAAUGAGCUUGAUGGGGACCAAAGAUUGGAAAAGCACAAAGCUA
rnacentral:lncRNA from 1 species